rnacentral:lncRNA from 1 species
AGCCCCCAUUUGGAGCAAGCAGUCACUGAAGCAGAGCUAGGAGAGUUUUCUUCUGGCAAGCGGAGGUGUCAGGCCUGUUUGGAGCCAGAUCUUGUCGUCAAGAACAAAUACAUGAAGGAAGUUUGAGGAAUGGUUGGUCAGCUAAUCAGAAUUCAGAGUACAGUGUCAUCAAGUUGCUCACAUGCUCAUAACCCCGGGUGAAUAGUAGAAUAGGAAGAAAAGUUCAAGUAGAUUUGUUUUCUGGGGAAAUCUAUCAAGCUAUUAAUUGUGAAUAGUAGCUUGCACUCUGAAUGCACUCUCACUUCAGGGCCUUGAUGCUUGCCGAUUUCCUGGCCUGGAAGCUUCCACUCCCUGCGCGGCUCACCAGCUUCCUUCCUUUUGGUCUUUGUUCGAAUGCCACAUCUUCAGAGCAGCCUUCUCUAAUCACUCAUAUGAUAGAGCAGCCCUUGUUCUCUGUCCCAUCUCCUGCUUUCUUCUUC